AAUAGAUACCCAGGUAGUCCAUGCCGUAAACGUUGGGAACUAGAUGUGGGGACCAUUCCACGGUCUCCGUGUCGCAGCUAACGCAUUAAGUUCCCCGCCUGGGGAGUACGGCCGCAAGGCUAAAACUCAAAGGAAUUGACGGGGGCCCGCACAAGCGGCGGAGCAUGCGGAUUAAUUCGAUGCAACGCGAAGAACCUUACCAAGGCUUGACAUAUACCGGAAACGUCUGGAAACAGUCGCCCCGCAAGGUCGGUAUACAGGUGGUGCAUGGUUGUCGUCAGCUCGUGUCGUGAGAUGUUGGGUUAAGUCCCGCAACGAGCGCAACCCUCGUUCUAUGUUGCCAGCACGUGAUGGUGGGGACUCAUAGGAGACUGCCGGGGUCAACUCGGAGGAAGGUGGGGAUGAGGUCAAAUCAUCAUGCCCCUUAUGUCUUGGGCUUCACGCAUGCUACAAUGGCCGGUACAAAGGGCAGCAAUACCGUGAGGUGGAGCGAAUCCCAAAAAGCCGGUCUCAGUUCGGAUUGAGGUCUGCAACUCGACCCC
rnacentral:rRNA from 1 species